UCGUUUCAGCAGCGCAUACACGAAAAUUGGAACAACACGGAGACAAUUAGCAUAGCCCCUGCACAAGGACUGCAAGCAAAUUCAUGAAAAAUAACUAGCAAUU